GAUGAACGCUAGCGGCAGGCCUAAUACAUGCAAGUCGAACGGUAACAUGAGUAGCAAUACUUGAUGACGAGUGGCGCACGGGUGCGUAACGCGUAUGCAAUCUACCUUUAACCGGUGAAUAGCCCGAAGAAAUUCGGAUUAAUACACCAUAGUAUGAUGAGGAGGCAUCUCCUUAUCAUUAAAGUUCCGACAGUUAAAGAUGAGCAUGCGUGACAUUAGCUAGUUGGUGAGGUAACGGCUCACCAAGGCCACGAUGUCUAGGGGAUCUGAGAGGAUUAACCCCCACACUGGUACUGAGACAGGGACCAGACUCCUACGGGAGGCAGCAGUAAGGAAUAUUGGACAAUGGUGGCAACACUGAUCCAGCCAUGCCGCGUGAAGGAUGACGGCCCUCUGGGUUGUAAACUUCUUUUGGAUGGGGCGAAAAACGGGAUUUAUCCUGGACUGACGGUACCAUCAGAAUAAGCACCGGCUAACUCCGUGCCAG
rnacentral:rRNA from 1 species